GAUGAACGCUGGCGGCGUGCCUAAUACAUGCAAGUCGAGCGGACGGACGAGAAGCUUGCUUCUCUGACGUUAGCGGCGGGCGGGUGAGUAACACGUGGAUAACCUACCUAUCAGACUGGGAUAACUUCGAGAAACCGUAGCUAAUACCGGAUAAUAUUUUGCUCCGCAUGGUUCAAUAGUGAGAGACGGUCUUGCGGUAACUUCUAGAUGGAUCCGAGCUGCAUUAGCUAGUUGGUAAGGUAACGGCUUACCAAGGCUACGAUGCAUAGCCGACCUGAGAGGGUGAUCGGCGACACUGGAACUGAGACACGGUCCAGACUCCUACGGGAGGCAGCAGUAGGGAAUCUUCCGCAAUGGGCGAAAGCCUGACGGAGCAACGCCGCGUGAGUGAUGAAGGUCUUCGGAUCGUAAAACUCUGUUAUUAGGGAAGAACAUAUGUGUAAGUAACUGUGCACAUCGUGACGGUACCUAAUCAGAAAGCCACGGCUAACUACGUG
rnacentral:rRNA from 1 species